rnacentral:rRNA from 1 species
AGAGUUUGAUCCUGGCUCAGGAUGAACGCUGGCGGCGUGCCUAACACAUGCAAGUCGAACGGACUUACAUUGAAGCCUAGCGAUAUGUAAGUUAGUGGCGGACGGGUGAGUAACGCGUGGGUAACCUGCCUCAUACAGGGGAAUAACAGUUGGAAACGGCUGCUAAAACCGCAUAAGCGCACAGUAUCGCAUGAUACAGUGUGAAAAACUCCGGUGGUAUGAGAUGGACCCGCGUCUGAUUAGCUAGUUGGUGAGGUAACGGCCCACCAAGGCGACAAUCAGUAGCCGGCCUGAGAGGGUGAACGGCCACAUUGGGACUGAGACACGGCCCGAACUCCUACGGGAGGCAGCAGUGGGGAAUAUUGCACAAUGGGCGAAAGCCUGAUGCAGCAACGCCGCGUGAGCGAUGAAGGCCUUCGGGUCGUAAAGCUCUGUCCUCAAGGAAGAUAAUGACGGUACUUGAGGAGGAAGCCCCGGCUAACUACGUGCCAGCAGCCGCGGUAAUACGUAGGGGGCUAGCGUUAUCCGGAUUUACUGGGCGUAAAGGGUACGUAGGCGGUCUUUUAAGUCAGGAGUGAAAGGCUACGGCUCAACCGUAGUAAGCUCUUGAAACUGGAGGACUUGAGUGCAGGAGAGGAGAGUGGAAUUCCUAGUGUAGCGGUGAAAUGCGUAGAUAUUAGGAGGAACACCAGUAGCGAAGGCGGCUCUCUGGACUGUAACUGACGCUGAGGCACGAAAGCGUGGGGAGCAAACAGGAUUAGAUACCCUGGUAGUCCACGCCGUAAACGAUGAGUACUAGCUGUCGGAGGUUACCCCCUUCGGUGGCGCAGCUAACGCAUUAAGUACUCC